rnacentral:tRNA from 1 species
AUGCGGGUUGCAGAGCGUUAUAUUUCGGCCUUCUAAGCCGUAGGCCACUGGUUCGAAUCCAGUCGGGCAGGCCA